rnacentral:rRNA from 1 species
UACAGAGGGUGCGAGCGUUGUCCGGAAUCACUGGGCGUAAAGGGCGCGUAGGCGGCUUCUUAAGCGUGUGGUGAAAGCGCGGGGCUCAACCCCGCGUCGGCCGUGCGAACUGGGGAGCUGGAGCACGUCAGAGGCAGGCGGAAUUCCGGGUGUAGCGGUGGAAUGCGUAGAGAUCCGGAAGAACACCGGUGGCGAAGGCGGCCUGCUGGGACGUGGCUGACGCUGAGGCGCGACAGCGGUGGGGAGCAAACAGG